rnacentral:rRNA from 1 species
GGAUUCCUCAGUAACUGCGAGUGAAGCGGGAUCAGCUCAAUGUGUGAAUCUGCUCGGGGGUAACUCCUCGGUCCGAGUUGUGCACUAUGAGAUGCUUUGUCUGCGUUGUGUAAUGGCGGUGGAAGUCCGUUGAAACACGGCACCCAAGAGGGUCAUAGUCCCGUACUACCUGCCAGCACUCGCGCCAAUGACAGGCACUCUUUGAGUCGCGUAGUUUUGUAAUGCUGCGCCAAGUGGGAGGUAGAGACCUUCUAAGGCUAAAUAUGAUGACAUGACCGAUAGCAUACAAGUACCGCGAGGGAAAGGUGAAAAGCAACCAUGAAAAAUGGGUUGAAACAGUAGUGAAAGUGCUACCGGGAUAAGGGCUAUUGAGUGCUGGGGCUCUCGACGUGUGCUUUAGUGCUACGUCUUGAGACGGCCUGUGUGGGUUGAUUGGGGUGAUAAACGCGCCUUUGGAAUUCGGCUGCAGGCUAUCUCCGGACAGUGUUGUAGCCUUGGGUUGCCAUCCUCCUGCGACCUUUCCUAAUGACAGGUCUUGCGAUCAUUAGCCGCCCGUCUUGAAACACGGACCAAGGAGUGCACCUUGCAUGCGAGUCGAAGGGAGUGACAAUCCCGGAGGCGUAGCGAACGCGACGAUGGGGAAUGUCCUUGUGGCAGACACCCGCACCCGCCUUGUGCGAGGUAGAGCAUGUAAGGUGCGACCCGAAAGAUGGUGAACUAUGCUCGGGUAAGGUGAAGCCAGUGGAAACGCUGGUGGAGGCCUGUAGCGAUUCUGACGUGCAAAUCGAUCGCGUAACCUGAGUAUAGGGGCG